UACGAAGGGGGCGAGCGUUGUUCGGAUUUACUGGGCGUAAAGCGCACGCAGGUGGCUGAGUCAGUCGAUUGUGAAAGCCCUGGGCUUAACCUGGGAAUUGCAGUCGAUACUACUCAGCUAGAGUAUGGGAGAGGGCAGUGGAAUUCCCGGUGUAGCGGUGAAAUGCGUAGAUAUCGGGAGGAACAUCAGUGGCGAAGGCGGCUGCCUGGCCCAAUACUGACACUCAGGUGCGACAGCGUGGGGAGCAAACAGG
rnacentral:rRNA from 1 species